GUUAAGCGACUAAGCGUACACGGUGGAUGCCCUGGCAGUCAGAGGCGAUGAAGGACGUGCUAAUCUGCGAUAAGCGUCGGUAAGGUGAUAUGAACCGUUAUAACCGGCGAUUUCCGAAUGGGGAAACCCAGUGUGAUUCGUCACACUAUCAUUAACUGAAUCCAUAGGUUAAUGAGGCGAACCGGGGGAACUGAAACAUCUAAGUACCCCGAGGAAAAGAAAUCAACCGAGAUUCCCCCAGUAGCGGCGAGCGAACGGGGAGCAGCCCAGAGCCUGAAUCAGUGUGUGUGUUAGUGGAAGCGUCUGGAAAGGCGCGCGAUACAGGGUGACAGCCCCGUACACAAAAAUGCACAUGCUGUGAG
rnacentral:rRNA from 1 species